rnacentral:lncRNA from 1 species
GCCACACCUCUCCUUCCUCACUGCUUGGUGGAUGAGCUGCCAGGUCCUGCCAAUCCCUACUGCCCUCCUGCACUGAAAGGAGCCUCCUUGGGAGCAAAUGUCCUGCCACCCCUCUCUGAUCUGCCCUGGACUCCUUCCUGGUGACCUCUGGCUCCAGCCAGCACAUCUCAAUUCAGACUAGCCGCACUUCAAGUGCCCAG